rnacentral:rRNA from 1 species
AUUGAACGCUGGCGGCAGGCCUAACACCUGCAAGUCGAGCGAGCGGCGGACGGGUGAGUAAUGUCUGGGAAACUGCCUGAUGGAGGGGGAUAACUACUGGAAACGGUAGCUAAUAUCACAUACCAUCAGAUGUGCCCAGAUGGGAGUAGCUAGUAGGGGGGGUAACGGCUCACCUAGGCGACGAGCCCUAGAUGGUCUGAGAGGAUGAGCAGCCACACUGGAACUGAGACACGGUCCAGACUCAGACGUGAGGCAGCAGUGGGGAAUAUUGCACAAUGGGCGCAAGCCUGAUGCAGCCAUGCCGCGUGUGUGAAGAAGGCCUUAGGGUUGGAAAGUACUUUCAGCGGGGAGGCGUUACCCGAAGAAGAAGCACCGGCUAACUCCGUGCCAGCAGCCGCGGUAAUUC